GGUACCACAGGCUCGUCCAUUUUAUCCAUCUCGAUAGACUCGGUGGUGUACAGGUGCUUCCAACGGCAUGUCCUCGAGUUUCCCUCGCAUAAAUGAAUUUUCCAAGUCGACCAGCAUCGCGUGAAGUUCGUCCAGGGAUCCUUUGAACGAACAGGGGGCGUGUGUCAGGUCACAGAUAUAUUGGAAACUUACAACUAUCACGUUUUUUCUCCCCGGCGGAAGGAUAGAAGAAAACGAAUCGUCCCGUUGAUUCCCGG